GACUUGGUAGCUCAGUUGCUAGAGCGGUGGGACGGAACCCCUAAAUUGUGAGUUUGAUCCUCACUCGGGUUC